rnacentral:lncRNA from 1 species
CUGGUGACCGCCUUUUGUUAUGACAACACAAGGUACAACAAAAGUUUCUGGGCGUCGCCUGUCGCUUCGCGGCGGCCAAUCGGAUGUCGGACAUAAACUUUGUAAACAACACAGUUGCACGUUGUCACAAAAACACCCGAGUUGCGAAGUGCAGCGGUCGUCCGAGCGGCUGAGGGAGUCCCGGAGCCUGCUGGAGGCCCUCCCUCCCUCCCUCCCUCGGCGGUACACUGGGUGCCGUGCAGGAUUGCAGGAGGGAUGGAGAACGUGGAGGAACAUCUGUGGCUGCUGCUGCUGCUGCUGCGUUUUCUAGGAAUGGGUACUCUUGAGCACCAAGGUUGUCUGACCAAAGUGGAGGGGUAAGAGGUGCAGGGAUGUGGGAGGAUGUUCAUUACAAGAAAUGAUGAAGAGAAGUGCACUUAAUUUUUGUGAGGAUCCUCUAUUUGCAUACUUACACUUACUUAUUUAGUUCAAUGUAAGGCUAUUUACAGCUCUUUACCCACUUAUAUAGUGGGGUAAUUUUUAUAAGAGUGACUCAGGAUAAGUACCUUGCUCAAAAUUAUUAUAGCAUCAGGUGGGAUUCAAACCAGCAACUGUCUGCUCAAAGGGCAGCACUUGUAACCACUAUGAUAUCAGGAUUUCAGCAAGAUGUCACACUGCCUUGUAUACCUGUUUUGGGAGCUGCUGCUUUUGUUUGAGAGGAAUCAAUAAAAUGACUAUUUACUGUGGUUAUGGGCA